rnacentral:rRNA from 1 species
AUGGAGCACGCGCGCGGGCCUCUUCCUCAGGGCCCUGCCGUGCGUCUCGCCAACAACGGGCCGCCCUUGCUGCCGUUGCGGCAUCCUCCCCAGUUCACGGGCGCAGGGCAGCCAGCGGCGUUCAUGGCGGGCCGCGACGCGCACCACGGACCGCGCGACGAGUACAUGGUCAAGCCGCCCAAGCAUGAUUUCCCUCACUUCGACGGCGACUCGCCCAGCCUCUGGAUCGACCGUUGCAUCACCUACUUCGACCUGUACCGAGUUCCGCCGCACAGUUGGGUGACCACGGCCUCUCUCUACAUUGAUGGCCAUGCGGCACGCUGGUACCAGGCAUACAGGCAGACACACCGCGCGCCGAACUGGGAGGAGUUCACCACGGCCAUCAUCAGCGAAUUCGCGCCAGAUGAGUUCGAGACAGAGAUGCACCAGCUGCUCCAGCUUCGUCAGACCGGCACCGUCGCCGAGUACAGAACGGCGUUCGAGACGCACAUGUACCACCUGCUCGCCCUCGACGCGUCGCUCAAUCCCAAGUUGUUCGUCACACAGUUCCUGCUGGGUUUGCGCGACGAUCUGCGGGCGGCAGUCCGCCUCCAGGAGCCGUCCAAUCUCACACGCGCGGCGGUGUUGGCCCGGAUCGUCGAAGAGGAAGUGGGCACACAACGUGCUCGGCCGCGCAUUAUUCCGGCGGGCCGCCCACCACCACCACCACCACCACCCCUACAGCUUCCUCCACGGGCCCCGACGGCGCCGCGGCCUGGCGUCGUGGGCGUGCCCAACGACGAUCUGGCGCGGGAGCGUCAACUGCGCGAGCACCGGCGUGCAAACGGCCUCUGCUUCAAGUGUGGAGAUCGUUACUCCCGCGAUCAUCGGUGCAAGCCUGCAACUCAGUUGCUCACAAUCCACGUCGGCGACUACGGAGAGGUUCUCGGCGAUGACGCGGUGCAUGCCCUGGACCUGCUCGACGCCCCAGUGGAGCAAGAGCCUGCACCGGAAUGUUGCGUGCUCUCCACACACACGGUUGCCGGCACGGAGUCGUCGCGCACCAUUCGUCUGCACGCGCUCGUCGGCAAUCAGGUGAUGUUGCUGUUAGUCAACUCCGGGAGCACACACAGUUUCGUCUCCAAGGAGUUCGCCGAGCGUGUGCACGCGGUUUCUGUGCCCGUGCCCGCAGUGGAGGUCCGGGUGGCCAACGGCGAGCGCAUGACGUGCAACAGCAUGGUAAAGGGACUGAACUGGUGGAUUCAAGGACACACGUUCGCCACAGACAUGAGGCAACUGGAUUUGGGUGCUUAUGACGGCAUGCUCGGCAUGGACUGGCUGGAGCAGUUCGGCCCGAUGACUUGUCACUGGCUGGAGAAGACACUGACGUUCGACCACCAAGGCGCCAUGAUCACUCUGCAAGGUGUUCGUCCAAAGCAGAAUGACAAGCUGGAAGAAAUCGAGCCCGAUCAGGUGUGCAAAUGGCAAGCUGGGAAUGACAUUUGGUACAUGGCAGUCCUUGAUCUGCCCUGUGCACCGGAGCCGCAGAUUACCAAGAUGCCACCCAGUGUCCAGAGUGUACUGACGGACUUCGCGGACGUGUUCGCUGACCCGAAGGGUUUGCCUCCCCAUCGCCGCUACGACCAUGCAAUCACCCUCGUCGACGACGCACGCCCGGCGAACUCGCGCCCUUACCGCUACUCGCCACUACAGAAAGAUGAAAUCGAGCGCCAGGUGCAGGAGAUGCUGCAGUCCGGCGUGAUUGAGCACAGCAUGAGCCCCUUCGCCACGCCCGUGCUGCUCAUCAAGAAAAAGGACGGCACCUGGCGUUUUUGUGUCGACUACCGCCGGCUCAACGAUGCCACUAUCAAAAACAAGUUCCCCCUGCCCAUUGUCGAUGAACUGCUCGACGAAUUAGCGGGCGCGGCAUUCUUCUCCAAACUGGAUCUUCGCGCUGGCUACCAUCAGAUACGCAUGCGCGCGGGCGAUGAGGAGAAGACCGCGUUCAAGACCCACCAUGGCCAUUUCCACUUUAAAGUCAUGCCAUUCGGCCUGACGAAUGCUCCGGCAACAUUCCAGUGCCUCAUGAACGCGAUCUUCGCCAAGUACGUCCGUAAGUUUGUCAUAAUAUUCCUUGAUGACAUUUUGAUCUUUAGCGAAACCUUGGAGGAGCACCUGGAACACCUUCGUCUCGUCCUCGCCCUGCUCCGGGAGCACCAGUUGUACGCCAAGGAGUCCAAGUGUUCGUUUGCCCAGGCCAGUAUCUCCUACCUGGGCCACAUCAUCUCCAAGGAGGGCGUCGCCAUGGACCCCGAGAAGACGCAGGCUAUGGUCGUGUGGCCUACUCCAACAAACACGACUGAACUUCGCGGCUUCCUCGGCCUCACCGGCUACUACCGCAAGUUCAUCGCGCACUAUGGCAUCGUCGCCAAGCCGCUCACAAGUUUGCUGACCAAGAAGGGCUUCGAGUGGACAGAGAAGGCGCAGGUGGCCUUCGAUCUCCUCAAGCGAGCAAUGGUGACCGCGCCCGUGCUUGCACUCCCAGAUUUCGAGCGCCCGUUUGCGAUCGAGACGGACGCCUGCGACACCAGCGUUGGCGCGGUGCUGGCACAGGAAGGGCACCCGGUGGCAUUCCUCAGCAAGGCCCUGGGGGUGCGUAACCAGCGGCUCUCAGCGUAUGAGAAGGAGUUCAUUGUCGUCAUGAUGGCAAUCGAGAAGUGGCGAGCGUACUUGCAAAGGGGUCCCUUCACCAUCAUCACCGAUCACAAGAGUCUCUGCAACCUGCAAGAUCAGCAGCUCGCCACGGACCUGCAACGCAAGGCCAUGGCCAAGCUGGUCGGACUCCAAUUCCAGUUCCGCUACCGUCGUGGCAGUGAAAACGGAGCCGCAGAUGCUCUUUCCCGCGUGGGCGCGUCUCUGAACCUGGACGCGCUCUCCCUGUGCCAGCCCGCAUGGGUUCAGGAGGUGGCAAACUCAUACGCCACGGACGCUGACGCACAGGAUCCUCUGGCUCAGCUCGCGAUCCACAGCCCGGACGACGAGGGUUACAAGCUCUACAAGGGCCUCAUCCGCAAGAAGGAGCGCCUGUGGAUCGGCAAGAACACGGCCUUGUGCACCAAGAUCAUCAGCGCGCUGCACGACAGCGCGAUAGGUGGCCACUCUGGCGCCACGGCCACCUACCAGCGCAUCAGGAAGCUCUUUGUGUGGGAUGGAUUGAAGGCCGAUGUCACCGACUACGUGCGGCAGUGCCCAGUGUGUCAGCACGCCAAGCACGAGCAAUCCAAGCCGGCGGGCACGCUCACGCCAUUGCCCGUGCCAACCACUCCCUGGCGCGACCUGACCAUGGACUUCGUGGAAGGAUUACCAGCGUCGGAGGGCUUCGAUUCCAUCAUGGUGGUAGUGGAUCGGCUCACCAAGUCAGCACACUUCAUUCCGCUUCGUCACCCAUUCAAAGCUCCCCAAGUGGCCAAGGUUUUCUGGGAUCAUAUCGUCAAGCUGCACGGCAUUCCGAGCUCCAUUGUCUCCGACCGUGACCGUGUCUUCACCAGUGCUCUCUGGCGCGAGCUCUUUGCCAGCGCAGGCACCAAGCUGCUCUUCUCUACGGCAUACACCCCCAGACAGACGGCCAGAGUGAGCGAGUCAAUCAGUGCAUGGAAAUGUACCUGCGAUGCGCGGUGCACGACGCGCCCCGGCAAUGGCGCCGCUGGUUGCCGACCGUGGAAUUCUGGUACAACUCGUCUUUUCAUUCCUCCAUCAAAUGUUCCCCCUUCAAGGCUCUGUACGGUGUGGAGCCCAACAUCGGCGCCAUGGCAUUCUGGGAUGACAAGACGGUGCCCAUGA